GAUGAACGCUAGCGACAGGCUUAACACAUGCAAGUCGAGGGGCAGCGGGGGUGAUGGCUUGCCAUCGCCUGCCGGCGACCGGCGCACGGGUGAGUAACACGUAUGCAACCUGCCCGCCACAGGGGGAUAAGCGGAAGAAAUUCCGUCUAAUACCGCGUGACGCGGCACCGGGGCAUCCCGGUGCCGCCAAAGGGAUUACCGGUGGCGGAUGGGCAUGCGGCGCAUUAGCUAGUCGGCGGGGUAACGGCCCACCGAGGCGACGAUGCGUAGGGGUUCUGAGAGGAAGGUCCCCCACACUGGUACUGAGACACGGACCAGACUCCUACGGGAGGCAGCAGUGAGGAAUAUUGGUCAAUGGGCGGGAGCCUGAACCAGCCAAGUCGCGUGAGGGAUGACGGUCCUACGGAUUGUAAACCUCUUUUGCCGGGGAGCAAGCGUGCGUUCGUGAACGCGCGUCGAGAGUACCCGGAGAAAAAGCAUCGGCUAACUCCGUGCCAGCAGCCGCGGUAAUACGGAGGAUGCGAGCGUUAUCCGGAUUUAUUGGGUUUAAAGGGUGCGUAGGCGGGAUGCCAAGUCAGCGGUAAAAAUGCGGUGCUCAACGCCGUCGAGCCGUUGAAACUGGCGUUCUUGAGUGGGCGAGAAGUAUGCGGAAUGCGUGGUGUAGCGGUGAAAUGCUUAGAUAUCACGAAGAACUCCGAUUGCGAAGGCAGCCUGCUGGACUGUAACUGACGCUGAUGCUCGAAAGUGUGGGUAUCAAACAGGAUUAGAUACCCUGGUAGUCCACACAGUAAACGAUGAAUACUCGCUGUUUGCGAUAUACAGUAAGCGGCCAAGCGAAAGCGUUAAGUAUUCCACCUGGGGAGUACGCCGGCAACGGUGAAACUCAAAGGAAUUGACGGGGGCCCGCACAAGCGGAGGAACAUGUGGUUUAAUUCGAUGAUACGCGAGGAACCUUACCCGGGCUUGAAUUGCAACUGAAUGAUGUGGAGACAUGUCAGCCGCAAGGCAGUUGUGAAGGUGCUGCAUGGUUGUCGUCAGCUCGUGCCGUGAGGUGUCGGCUUAAGUGCCAUAACGAGCGCAACCCUUAUCGAUAGUUACCAUCAGGUUAUGCUGGGGACUCUGUCGAGACUGCCGUCGUAAGAUGUGAGGAAGGUGGGGAUGACGUCAAAUCAGCACGGCCCUUACGUCCGGGGCUACACACGUGUUACAAUGGGGGGUACAGAAGGCAGCUACACGGCGACGUGAUGCUAAUCCCGAAAGCCUCUCUCAGUUCGGAUUGGAGUCUGCAACCCGACUCCAUGAAGCUGGAUUCGCUAGUAAUCGCGCAUCAGCCACGGCGCGGUGAAUACGUUCCCGGGCCUUGUACACACCGCCCGUCAAGCCAUGAAAGCCGGGGGUACCUGAAGUGCGUAACCGCAAGGAGCGCCCUAGGGUAAAACUGGUGAUUGGGGCU
rnacentral:rRNA from 1 species